GACGAACGCUGGCGGCGUGCCUAAUACAUGCAAGUUGAGCGCUGAAGGUUGGUACUUGUACCAACUGGAUGAGCAGCGAACGGGUGAGUAACGCGUGGGGAAUCCGCCUUUGAGCGGGGGACAACAUUUGGAAACGAAUGCUAAUACCGCAUAAAAACUUUAAACACAAGUUUUAAGUUUGAAAGAUGCAAUUGCAUCACUCAAAGAUGAUCCCGCGUUGUAUUAGCUAGUUGGUGAGGUAAAGGCUCACCAAGGCGAUGAUACAUAGCCGACCUGAGAGGGUGAUCGGCCACAUUGGGACUGAGACACGGCCCAAACUCCUACGGGAGGCAGCAGUAGGGAAUCUUCGGCAAUGGACGAAAGUCUGACCGAGCAACGCCGCGUGAGUGAAGAAGGUUUUCGGAUCGUAAAACUCUGUUGGUAGAGAAGAACGUUGGUGAGAGUGGAAAGCUCAUCAAGUGACGGUAACUACACAGAAAGGGACGGCUAACUACGUG
rnacentral:rRNA from 1 species